rnacentral:precursor_RNA from 15 species
UCAAUUGACGUUUGAAAUAGUCUUAUGGGUUUCGGUGUGCGGCUGUUUUGCGUGUCAUUUAAUACAUAUCGUCAAACGAGCCGAACAUCGAAAUUCAUGGGGUUAACAGCGCCUUUUAAAAGUG